CCUACGGGUGGCUGCAGUGGGGAAUAUUGGGCAAUGGCGGAAACUCUGACCCAGCAACGCCGCGUGAAUGAUGACGGUCCUCGGAUUGUAAAGUUCUUUUCUAAGGGAAGAAGAAAGUGACGGUACCUUAGGAAUAAGCCUCGGCUAACUACGUGCCAGCAGCCGCGGUAAUACGUAGGAGGCGAGCGUUAUCCGGAAUGACUGGGCGUAAAGGGUGCGUAGGUGGUUGGGCAAGGUAGUAGCGUAACUCCAAGGCUCAACCUUGGAACCACUGCUAACACUGUUGGACUUGAGUGCAGGAGGGGCAAGCGGAAUUCGUGGUGUAGCGGUGGAAUGCGUAGAUAUUAGGAGGAACACCAGUGGCGAAGGCGGGUUGCUAGACUGUAACUGACGCUGAGGCACGAAAGCGUGGGGAGCAAACAGGAUUAGAUACCCGGGUAGUC
rnacentral:rRNA from 1 species